UACGUAGGCAGCGAGCGUUGUUCGGAAUUACUGGGCGUAAAGGGCUCGUAGGCGGCCAACUAAGUCAGACGUGAAAUCCCUCGGCUUAACCGGGGAACUGCGUCUGAUACUGGAUGGCUUGAGGUUGGGAGAGGGAUGCGGAAUUCCAGGUGUAGCGGUGAAAUGCGUAGAUAUCUGGAGGAACACCGGUGGCGAAGGCGGCAUCCUGGACCAAUUCUGACGCUGAGGAGCGAAAGCCAGGGGAGCAAACGGG
rnacentral:rRNA from 1 species